rnacentral:lncRNA from 1 species
CUUUAUUUCAGGAAAGAAGAACUAGGUCUGGCAGUAGAUCAGAAUCUACCUGUUGGGGAAAACCAGAAAUAGGAAGAAGAGUUAUUAAUGGUUCAUUCUUGGCUGAGAAGAAUUCAGUAUGGAAUAAUUAAGAACUACUAUCAAUGCCUUUUACAAAAUGAGGUCAUUGGAUUGCAGAGUUGGCUUUCGAGAAGAUUUUGUGGCCUUUCUCAGCUGUCUAGGUGCUGUAGGUGCUGUGUUUCUAUGGCUGCAAGGAUGAAGGUAACAUGGAUGAGGGAGGCUGAUGAGGCAUGUUUUGGUUGUUAUAUAAAGCAAGGCUCACAAAUGCAGCAAUAAGGACAUUGAUUUUUUUCCCUUGGCUACUUUGCAGUGGAGAUAAAUUGCCACCAGGUGAAUGGUGGUACCUUGAUUAUUU